rnacentral:rRNA from 1 species
GGUAGAGAGGUGCUUGCACCUCUUGAGAGCGGCGGACGGGUGAGUAAUACCUAGGAAUCUGCCUGGUAGUGGGGGAUAACGUUCGGAAACGGACGCUAAUACCGCAUACGUCCUACGGGAGAAAGCAGGGGACCUUCGGGCCUUGCGCUAUCAGAUGAGCCUAGGUCGGAUUAGCUAGUUGGUGAGGUAAUGGCUCACCAAGGCUACGAUCCGUAACUGGUCUGAGAGGAUGAUCAGUCACACUGGAACUGAGACACGGUCCAGACUCCUACGGGAGGCAGCAGUGGGGAAUAUUGGACAAUGGGCGAAAGCCUGAUCCAGCCAUGCCGCGUGUGUGAAGAAGGUCUUCGGAUUGUAAAGCACUUUAAGUUGGGAGGAAGGGCAUUAACCUAAUACGUUAGUGUUUUGACGUUACCGACAGAAUAAGCACCGGCUAACUCUGUGCCAGCAGCCGCGGUAAUACAGAGGGUGCAAGCGUUAAUCGGAAUUACUGGGCGUAAAGCGCGCGUAGGUGGUUUGUUAAGUUGAAUGUGAAAUCCCCGGGCUCAACCUGGGAACUGCAUCCAAAACUGGCAAGCUAGAGUAUGGUAGAGGGUGGUGGAAUUUCCUGUGUAGCGGUGAAAUGCGUAGAUAUAGGAAGGAACACCAGUGGCGAAGGCGACCACCUGGACUGAUACUGACACUGAGGUGCGA